rnacentral:tRNA from 1 species
GGAGGUGUGGCUCAAGUGGUAGAGUGCCAGCCUAGGAAGCAUUGAGGUCUAAGUUCAAACCCCAGUACCACCA